rfam:Macaca mulatta chromosome 8, whole genome shotgun sequence.
CCUAAGCAAUUUAAUCCAUGGAACAAACUACCCUAGGGAUAACAGCACAACCCUAUUUUAGAGUUCAUUAUCAACAACAGGGUUUGCAACCUCGAUGUUGAAUCAGGACAUUCCAACCGUGUAACUACUAUUAACGGUUCGUUUGUUCAAUAAUUAAAGUCUUAUGUGGUCUGAGUUCAGACCGGAGCAAUCCAGAUC